rnacentral:rRNA from 1 species
GUGGGGAAUAUUGCACAAUGGGCGCAAGCCUGACGGAGCAAUGCCGCGUGAAGGAUGAAGGCCUAUGGGUUGUAAACUUCUUUUCUCAGAAAAGAAUUAUGACGGUAUCUGAGGAAUAAGCAUCGGCUAACUCUGUGCCAGCAGCCGCGGUAAGACAGAGGAUGCAAGCGUUAUCCGGAAUGAUUGGGCGUAAAGCGUCUGUAGGUUGUUUAAAAAGUAUUCUGUCAAAGAUUAGGGCUUAACCCUAGAUAGGCAGAAUAAACUUUUAAGCUAGAGUGUGGUAGAGGCAGAGGGAAUUCCCGGUGGAGCGGUGAAAUGCGUAGAUAUCGGGAGGAACACCAAAGGCGAAGGCACUCUGCUGGGCCAAUACUAACACUGAGAGACGAAAGCGAGGGGAGCAAAUGGGAUUAGAUACCCCAGUAGUCC